CCUUUGCUACUCUGCUAGAUAUCCUUACAAUUUGGUUUAGAAUUUUAGUACCACUAACAUUUUUUGGUGCAUAUUUUGGAAAUAAAGAAAAGAUUAGUUGUCCAGUUCAGACAAACCAGAUCCCCUGUCAGAUUCCUCCAUAGAACUUCUUUACAAAACCACUUCUUGGCAUCAUAAUUGGUGGCAUUUUCCCCUUCGGCUGUAUUUUUAUUCAACUCUUUUUCAUUCUGAACAGUAUUUGGUCUCAUUAGCUGUACUACAUGUUUGGCUUCCUUUUCUUAGUCUUUAUAAUUCUUGUGAUUACUUGCUCAGAAGUUACAGUUUUGCUGUAUUAUUUUCAUUUAUGUGCUGAGGAUUAUCAUUGGUGGUGGCGAUUUUUAACCAGAAGCUUUAUAGCUGUUUAUCUUUUUACGUAUGCAGUUCAUUACUUCUCUGCCAAACUUCAAAUCACAGAAAUUGCGAGCUCUAUUUUGUACUUUGGGUACAUGAUGAUCAUUGUGUUGAUUUUCUUCCUUUUCAUAGAGACAGUUGGAUUUUUUUCCUGUUUCUGGUUAAUUGCUAAAAUCUACAGUGUGCUGAAGGUGGAGUAAAGUAUUUCCCCAAAGGAUUCCAAGCACAUCUCCCUUGCCCUUGAAUAUCUGUAUAUCUAUAUGAACAUCAAUUGAGAUAUAUAUGUGUGUGCCCCUAAUUACAUAAUUUUAAGCAUAUAUAUAAAAAUGUAAAAUCUCA
rnacentral:lncRNA from 1 species